rnacentral:misc_RNA from 1 species
AAGUCGUAACAAGGUUUCCGUAGGUGAACCUGCGGAAGGAUCAUUACCACGUGCCAAAAACACGUCAACCAAACGCGAACUGUUCUCCUUCUCCCUUUGUGCUGGAGCAGCUGUCUAUUUCGAUAGACGCCUGCAUUCCAACGCUAAAGGCUAUUAUUUAUUUAUCUAUUAAAUAAAUAACAACAUACAAACGAAUAUCACCGCCCUUCUCCAAGUUGACUUAUUUUUUACUGUGCGUUGCUUUACCGCAUCGCACACGUUUAAUAAUUAUUAAUUGAACGUAAAAAAUACAACUCUUAGCGAUGGACCUCUUGGCUCUC